AUUCCUUCGGGGAUGGGUUAGCGGCGGACGGGUGAGUAACACGUAGGCAACCUGCCUAUAAGCCUGGGAUAACUUCCGGAAACGGAUGCUAAUACCGGAUACGUUGGGUUCUCGCAUGAGAGCUCAUGGAAAGACGGCGCAAGCUGUCACUUAUGGAUGGGCCUGCGGCGCAUUAGCUAGUUGGUGGGGUAACGGCUCACCAAGGCGACGAUGCGUAGCCGACCUGAGAGGGUGAUCGGCCACACUGGGACUGAGACACGGCCCAGACUCCUACGGGAGGCAGCAGUAGGGAAUCUUCGGCAAUGGACGCAAGUCUGACCGAGCAACGCCGCGUGAGUGAUGAAGGGUUUCGGCUCGUAAAACUCUGUUGCCAGAGAAGAACGUCCAGGAGAGUAACUGCUCUUGGAGUGACGGUAUCUGAGAAGAAAGCCCCGGCUGACUACGUGCCAGCAGCCGCGGUAAUACGUAGGGGGCAAGCGUUGUCCGGAAUUAUUGGGCGUAAAGCGCGCGCAGGCGGUUGUUUAAGUCUGGGGUUUAAGUUCGGGGCUCAACCCCGUAUCGCCCUGGAAACUGGGGAACUGGAGUGUAGGAGAGGAAAGUGGAAUUCCACGUGUAGCGGUGAAAUGCGUAGAGAUGUGGAGGAACACCAGUGGCGAAGGCGACUUUCUGGCCUAUAACUGACGCUGAGGCGCGAAAGCGUGGGGAGCAAACAGGAUUAGAUACCCUGGUAGUCCACGCCGUAAACGAUGCACGCUAGGUGUUGGGGGUUUCAAUACCCUCGGUGCCGAAGUUAACACAU
rnacentral:rRNA from 1 species